rnacentral:rRNA from 1 species
AAUAUUGGGCAAUGGGCGCAAGCCUGACCCAGCCACGCCGCGUGAGUGAUGAAGGCCUUCGGGUCGUAAAGCUCUGUGGGGAGGGACGAACAUACACUGGCCAACCUCCAGUGGGUUGACGGUACCUUCUUAGCAAGCACCGGCUAACUCCGUGCCAGCAGCCGCGGUAAUACGGAGGGUGCAAACGUUGCUCGGAAUCAUUGGGCGUAAAGCGCACGUAGGCGGUCCGCUGUGUCGGGUGUGAAAGCCCUCGGCUUAACCGAGGAAGUGCAUUCGAAACUGGCGGACUUGAGUACCGGAGAGGGUCGCGGAAUUCCCGGUGUAGAGGUGAAAUUCGUAGAUAUCGGGAGGAACACCAGUGGCGAAGGCGGCGACCUGGACGGAUACUGACGCUGAGGUGCGAAAGCGUGGGGAGCAAAC